AUAUAAUUUACGUAACAUUAAAAGUUUCUUCCGUAGAGAUGUCAGUAUGCCUUUUUCUCCUCUAUCUGUCCCUCUAAACCCUGCCCCUCAGCCAAAACAAACCACGCUGAAAGCUUCAAUGACUCGUGCUGUGCCUUUUGAAAAUGGGAGACCAGAGAGAGACCAGAAGUCCAGUCCUGCAAUAUGACAUCAGGCAGUUCUGCUUGUGAGACACAGCUCAGUGGUGCAAGCAUCCCUUCUGGCCAACACUCUGUUGCAGAGCUUGGUGACCAUGCCCAUGACUUGGAACUCAAUGUUUUCUCUACAGACUUAUCCAGCGACACCGAAUUGAGAGCCGAGUGUCAGUCAUUUGGUCCCACACCAGACAGCCCUGUGCAUGAGGUGCAAUGUGUCGGAGGUUAAUGCAGCACUGUGAAAGAGGGGAUUGGAGAAGUUGGUGUCCAACACCAGGAGGUGUCACCCCCUAUGUUCUCAACAGACCUUGCCAGUGGUCAGUGAUAGUUUUGAGUAAAUGUUGUUAACUUCUGGCAAUGCAUGUCAUGCCUGCUAAGGGAUUGCAGCAUAAAAAACAUUGGCAA
rnacentral:lncRNA from 1 species